rnacentral:rRNA from 1 species
UGGCUAACUCCUACGGGAGGCAGCAGUGGGGAAUCUUAGACAAUGGGGGAAACCCUGAUCUAGCCAUGCCGCGUGAUCGAUGAAGGCCUUAGGGUUGUAAAGAUCUUUCAGAUGGGAAGAUAAUGACGGUACCAUCAGAAGAAGCCCCGGCUAACUCCGUGCCAGCAGCCGCGGUAAUACGGAGGGGGCUAGCGUUAUUCGGAAUUACUGGGCGUAAAGCGCACGUAGGCGGACUGAAAAGUCAGAGGUGAAAUCCCAGGGCUCAACCUUGGAACUGCCUUUGAAACUCUCAGUCUUGAGGUCGAGAGAGGUGAGUGGAAUUCCGAGUGUAGAGGUGAAAUUCGUAGAUAUUCGGAGGAACACCAGUGGCGAAGGCGGCUCACUGGCUCGAUACUGACGCUGAGGUGCGAAAGCGUGGGGAGCAAACAGGAUUAGAUACCCCAGUAGUCCAGCUGG